CAGUAGCCGCGGUAAUACAGAGGGUGCGAGCGUUAAUCGGAUUUACUGGGCGUAAAGCGUGCGUAGGCGGCUUCUUAAGUCGGAUGUGAAAUCCCUGAGCUUAACUUAGGAAUUGCAUUCGAUACUGGGAAGCUAGAGUAUGGGAGAGGAUGGUAGAAUUCCAGGUGUAGCGGUGAAAUGCGUAGAGAUCUGGAGGAAUACCGAUGGCGAAGGCAGCCAUCUGGCCUAAUACUGACGCUGAGGUACGAAAGCAUGGGGAGCAAACAGGAUUAGAGACCCGCGUAGUCCCUGUCUCUUAUAA
rnacentral:rRNA from 1 species